rnacentral:pre_miRNA from 1 species
GUGGAUGUCUUCCACGGUAAAUGAUAACCGCUUUCAUUCACCGGGAACUCAUUCAUGC